AGCAGUGUGGCUCAGUGGAAAGAGCCCGGGCUUGGGAGUCAGAAGUUAUGGGUUCGAAUCCCGGCUCUGCCA
rnacentral:tRNA from 1 species